UACGAAGGAUUCGAGCGUUAUCCGGAUUUAUUUGGGUUUAAAGGGUGCGUAGGUGGAUUAAUAAGUCAGUGGUGAAAGCCCGCAGCUUAAACUGCGGAACUGCCAUUGAUACUGUUAGUCUUGAGUACAGUUGAGGUGGGCGGAAUGUGUCAUGUAGCGGUGAAAUGCUUAGAUAUGACACAGAACACCGAUUGCGAAGGCAGCUCACUAAGCUGUAACUGACACUGAGGCACGAAAAGUGUGGGUAGCAAACAGG
rnacentral:rRNA from 1 species